AAGCACCGGCUAACUCCGUGCCAGCAGCCACGGUAAUACGGAGGGUGCAAGCGUUAUCCGAAUUUAUUGGUUUUAAGGGUGCGUAGGCGGGCCGGCAAGUCAGUGGUGAAAUCCCGCAGCUCAACUGCGGAACUGCCCAUUGAAACUACCAGCCUCGAGUACAGUUGAAGUGGGUGGAAUGUGUCAUGUAGCGGUGAAAUGCAUAGGUAUGACACAGAACGCCGAUAGCGGAGGCAGCUCACUAAACCGAGACUGACGCUGAGGCACGAAAGCGUGGGUAGCGAACAGGAUUAGAUACCCUGGUAGUCCACGCCGUAAACGAUGAUAACUCGAUGUGUGCGAUAUACAGUACGCGUCCAGGCGAAAGUGAUAAGUUAUCCACCUGGGGAGUACGUCCGCAAGGAUGAAACUCAAAGGAAUUGACGGGGGCCCGCACAAGCGGAGGAGCAUGUGGUUUAAUUCGAUGAUACGCGAGGAACCUUACCUGGGCUUAAAUGCAGGAUGAUUCAUGCCGAAAGGCGUGUUCCUUCGGGCAUUUUGCAAGGUGCUGCAUGGUUGUCGUCAGCUCGUGCCGUGAGGUGUCGGGUUAAGUCCCAUAACGAGCGCAACCCUUACUCCCAGUUGCCAUCACUUCGGGUGGGGACUCUGGGGGAACUGCCUACGCAAGUAGCGAGGAAGGUGGGGAUGACGUCAAAUCAGCACGGCCCUUAUGUCCAGGGCUACACACGUGCUACAAUGGCCUGUACAGAGGGCAGCUACCCGGCGACGGGGUGCCAAUCUCAAAAACAGGUCUCAGUUCGGAUCGGAGCCUGCAACUCGGCUCCGUGAAGUUGGAUUCGCUAGUAAUCGCGUAUCAGCAACGACGCGGUGAAUACGUUCCCGGGCAUUGUACACACCGCCCGUCAAGCCAUGGGAGUCGGGGGUACCUGAAGUCGAUAACCGNCAGGAGUCGCCUAGGGUAAGACCGAUGACUGGGGCUAAGUC
rnacentral:rRNA from 1 species